CAGUCGCCGCGGUAAUACAGAGGCCUCAAGCGUUGUUCGGAUUCAUUGGGCGUAAAGGGUGCGUAGGCGAUUCCGUAAGUCGGAUGUGAAAUCCUGGGGCUCAACCUCAGAACUGCAUUCGAUACUGCGGGGCUAGAGGACUGGAGAGGAGAGUGGAAUUCACGGUGUAGCAGUGAAAUGCGUAGAUAUCGUGAGGAAGACCAGCGGCGAAGGCGGCUCUCUGGACAGUUCCUGACGCUGAUGCACGAAGGCCAGGGGAGCAAACGGGAUUAGAUACCCGUGUAGUCCCUGUCUCUUAUAC
rnacentral:rRNA from 1 species